GAUGAACGCUGGCGGCGUGCUUAACACAUGCAAGUCGAACGAGAAGUGAAGACGUAAACCUUCUGGCGGAGGGCUGUAUGUCGAGGGGCGGCCGGGGGAGUAACGCCUGGGUAACCUGCCUCAUACAGGGGGAUAACAGUUGGAAACGACUGGUAAUACUGCAUAAGACCACAGCACCGCAUGGUGCGGGGGUAAAGACUCCGGUGGUAUGAGAUGGACCCGCGUUCGAUUAGCCAGUUGGCGGGGUAACGGCCCACCAAAGCGACGAUAGAUAGCCGAGCUGAGAGGAUGGCCGGCUACGGUGGGAGUGAGACACGGCCCGAACUCCUACGGGAGGCAGCAGUGGGGAAUAUUGCAGGAUGGGGGAAAGCCUGAUGAAGCGACGCCGCGUGAGUGCAGCAGUAUGUCGGUAAGUAAAGCUCUAUCAGCAGGGAAGAAAAUGACGGUACCUGAGUAAGAAGCCCCGGCUAACUACGUG
rnacentral:rRNA from 1 species